UACGUAGGAGGCAAGCGUUGUCCGGAAUUACUGGGCGUAAAGCGCACGUAGGCGGCUUUGUAAGUCAGGGGUGAAAUCCCGGGGCUCAACCCCGGAACUGCCCUUGAGACUGCAUCGCUUGAAUCCAGGAGAGGUGAGUGGAAUUCCGAGUGUAGAGGUGAAAUUCGUAGAUAUUCGGAAGAACACCAGUGGCGAAGGCGGCUCACUGGACUGGUAUUGACGCUGAGACGCGAAAGCGUGGGGAGCGAACAGG
rnacentral:rRNA from 1 species